UACGUAGGGGGCAAGCGUUAUCCGGAAUUACUGGGUGUAAAGGGAGCGUAGACGGUGAUGCAAGUCUGGAGUGAAAGGCGGGGGCCCAACCCCCGGACUGCUCUGGAAACUGUGUAACUUGAGUGCAGGAGAGGUAAGCGGAAUUCCUAGUGUAGCGGUGAAAUGCAUAGAUAUCACGCAGAACUCCGAUCGCGAAGGCAGCCUACCGGCGCGCAACUGACGCUCAUGCACGAAAGCGUGGGUAUCGAACAGG
rnacentral:rRNA from 1 species